GCCAGGCGUGGUGGCGCACACCUGUAAUCCCAGCUACUCAGUAGGCUGAGGCAGGAGAAUUGCUUGAACCUGGGAGGUGGAGGUUGUAGUGAGCUGAGAUCGUGCCACUACACUCCACCCUGGGUGACAGAGCAAGACUCCGUCUCUU
rnacentral:SRP_RNA from 2 species